ACUCAAAUGAAUAGACGGGGACCCGCACAAGCAGCGGAGCAUGUGGUUUAAUUCGAAGCAACGCGAAGAACCUUACCAAGACUUGACAUCCUCUGACCGCCACAGAAACGUGGCUUCCCUUCGGGGCAGAGAGACAGGUGGUGCAUGGUUGUCGUCAGCUCGUGUCGUGAGAUGUUCGGUUAAGUCCGGCAACGAGCGCAACCCUUAUGAUAUGUUGCCAAUAUUAAGUUAGGAACUCAUAUCAGACUGCCGUGGAUUAACACGGAGGAAGGUGGGGACGACGUCAAAUCAUCAUGCCCCUUACGUCUUGGGCUACACACGUGCUACAAUGGGCGCUACAAAGAGCAGCAAACCGGUGACGGCAAGCGAAUCUCAAAAAGGCGCUCUCAGUUCGGAUUGAGGGCUGCAACCCGCCCUCAUGAAGCAGGAGUUGCUAGUAAUCCCGGAUCAGAAUGCCGGGGUGAAUGCGUUCCCGGGUCUUGUACACACCGCCCGU
rnacentral:rRNA from 1 species